rnacentral:rRNA from 1 species
GACGAACGCUGACGGCGCGCCUAAAACAUGCAAGUCGAACGAGAAGCCCGGGCUUGCCCGGGUGGACAGUGGCGAACGGGUGAGUAACACGUGAGGAACCUGCCCCGAAGACCGGGACAACACCGGGAAACCGGUGCUAAUACCGGAUACCUUCACCGAAUCGCAUGGUCUGGUGAAGAAAUGGAUUCCGCUUCGGGAUGGCCUCGCGGCCUAUCAGCUAGUUGGUGAGGUAACGGCUCACCAAGGCGACGACGGGUAGCUGGUCUGAGAGGAUGUCCAGCCACACUGGGACUGAGACACGGCCCAGACUCCUACGGGAGGCAGCAGUGAGGAAUAUUGGACAAUGGGUGAGAGCCUGAUCCAGCCAUCCCGCGUGAAGGACGACGGCCCUAUGGGUUGU